rnacentral:tRNA from 1 species
GCGGGAAUGGCGGAAUUGGCAGACGCGCUAGUUUCAGGUAUUAGUGAGUGAACACUCAUGCAGGUUCAAGUCCUGUUUCCCGCACCA